UACGUAGGGUGCGAGCGUUAAUCGGAAUUACUGGGCGUAAAGCGUGCGCAGGCGGUUUUGUAAGCCGGAUGUGAAAUCCCCGGGCUUAACCUGGGAAUGGCAUUCGGGACUGCAAGGCUGGAGUGCGGCAGAGGAGACUGGAAUUCCUGGUGUAGCAGUGAAAUGCGUAGAUAUCAGGAGGAACACCGGUGGCGAAGGCGGGUCUCUGGGCCGUAACUGACGCUGAGGAGCGAAAGCGUGGGGAGCGAACAGG
rnacentral:rRNA from 1 species